rfam:Felis catus isolate Cinnamon breed Abyssinian chromosome X, whole genome shotgun sequence.
GCCUGGGUGGCUCAGUCGGUUAAGCAUCUGACUUAAGCUCAGGUCAUGAUCUCGUGGUUCGUGGGUUCACACCCUGCGUCAGGCU